rnacentral:rRNA from 1 species
GAUGAACGCUGGCGGCGUGCCUAAUACAUGCAAGUCGAGCGAACGGACGAGAAGUUUGCUUCUCUGAUGUUAGCGGCGGACGGGUGAGUAACACGUGGAUAACCUACCUAUAAGACUGGGAUAACUUCGGGAAACCUGAGCUAAUACCGGAUAAUAUUUUGAACCGCAUGGUUCAAAAGUGAAAGACGGUCUUGCUGUCACUUAUAGAUGGUUCCGCGCUGCAUUAGCUAGUUGGUACGGUAACGGCUUACCAAGGCGACGAUGCAUAGCCGAGCUGAGAGGAUGAUCGGCCACACUGGAACUGAGACACGGUCCAGACUCCUACGGGAGGCAGCAGUAGGGAAUCUUCCGCAAUGGGCGAAAGCCUGACGGAGCAACGCCGCGUGAGUGAUGAAGGUCUUCGGAUCGUAAAGCUCUGUUAUUAGGGAGGAACAUAUGUGUAAGUAAAUGUGCACAUCUUGACGGUACCUAAUCAAAAAGCCACGGCUAACUACGUG